rnacentral:rRNA from 1 species
AUUGAACGCUGGCGGCAUGCUUUACACAUGCAAGUCGAACGGUAACAGGCCGCAAGGUGCUGACGAGUGGCGAACGGGUGAGUAAUGCAUCGGAACGUGCCCAGUCGUGGGGGAUAACGCAGCGAAAGCUGCGCUAAUACCGCAUACGAUCUAUGGAUGAAAGCGGGGGACCGUACGGCCUCGCGCGAUUGGAGCGGACGAUGUCAGAUUAGGUAGUUGGUGGGGUAAAGGCUCACCAAGCCAACGAUCUGUAGCUGGUCUGAGAGGACGACCAGCCACACUGGGACUGAGACACGGCCCAGACUCCUACGGGAGGCAGCAGUGGGGAAUUUUGGACAAUGGGCGCAAGCCUGAUCCAGCAAUGCCGCGUGCAGGAAGAAGGCCUUCGGGUUGUAAACUGCUUUUGUACGGAACGAAACGGUCCUGGUUAAUACCUGGGGCUAAUGACGGUACCGUAAGAAUAAGCACCGGCUAACUACGUGCCAGCCGCCGCCGUAAUAC